CAAAAAACUCCACAUGAAAAACUGAAACUGAACUGUUUAAGGACACUUAAGAGUCAAGAUGGAAAGUCAUCAUAAAGAAUCAAAAUAUGACAAAUGUGCGGUGACCCAACUGAAAAUUAAAGGACAUGUCGCAUGUUAUUUAAUGUCUUGGCUAGCAACACAUCAAAAUAUUCAUGAUUGUAAGUUUAUCCGUACACAUGCGGUAAUAACUGGUGGUCACUGAUGUAUUUUAUUGCUAAUUAUUCCUGAACGCAAAUGCAGAAUGUCUCCACGACGCUGUGUUUACAGGCUGCCUGAACAUGCGGAUGUAUUUCUUUCAUUGGAAAAUGUCAGAAUACAUUACUUUCAGGAGAUAAACUUUCUAUCCAACGCACCAGAAUUGUGAGAGAACUUUGUGAGGAGCUGCAGUGGGACAUUAUUCUCUGGCUGGCAAUCGCGUGCGAUCCGUGCAUGAUAACUUCUUUGAUGGUCUGGACUUUAGAUAUUUAAUCUUGGAAAUAAUUCUAUAAGUGGGUGAGUGCCCUGUUCAGUUUUUUUUUUCCUUUUGUAUUUUGUUCUUGACAGUGGAGUUGGUAGACUUUGUUAACUUUAGUUUACUUUGAGAGAGUCUGUAGGAUUUUGGAUCUCAAUGUGUGCGGAGUUUGUUCUCCGUACCGGAGCAGCACGCUGUUCUAACCCCAUUAUAGCUUGGACCAUGAAAGUGCACAAAGAGCUUUCACCUGUUUGAUCACACAGAUGCAUAUCUUAGAUUUUUCAGUUAUAUCAAUGACAACACUUAUAAGCAUGUACAAAGCUGAGCCUCUGGCAAAGACCAUUUUGUUUUAAGUUUUAACAAGCUGC